CCAGACUCCUACGGGAGGCAGCAGUGGGGGAUAUUGCACAAUGGGGGAAACCCUGAUGCAGCGACGCCGCGUGGGCGAAGAAGUAUUUCGGUAUGUAAAGCCCUAUCAGCAGGGAAGAAGAAAUGACGGUACCUGAGUAAGAAGCACCGGCUAAAUACGUGCCAGCAGCCGCGGUAAUACGUAGGGGGCAAGCGUUAUCCGGAUUUACUGGGUGUAAAGGGAGCGUAGACGGCCAUGCAAGCCAGGGGUGAAAGCCCGGGGCCCAACCCCGGGACUGCCCUUGGAACUGCAUGGCUGGAGUGCGGGAGGGGCAGGCGGAAUUCCUGGUGUAGCGGUGAAAUGCGUAGAUAUCAGGAGGAACACCGGCGGCGAAGGCGGCCUGCUGGACCGUGACUGACGUUGAGGCUCGAGAGCGUGGGGAGCAAACAGGAUUAGAUACCCCUGUA
rnacentral:rRNA from 1 species